GGGACCUGGUAGAAUCCAUUGAAGGCUUUAGGAAACUGUCUGGGACCUGGUAGAAUCCAUUGAAGGCUUUAGGAAACUGUCUGGGACCUGGUAGAAUCCAUUGAAGGGUUUAGGUAAACUGUCUGGGACCUGGUAGAAUCCAUUGAAGGGUUUAGGUAAACUGUCUGGGACCUGGUAGAAUCCAUUGAAGGUUUAGGUAAACUGGGACCUGGUAGAAUCCAUUGAAGGGUUUAGGUAAACUGUCUGGGACCUGGUAGAAUCCAUUGAAGGGUUUAGGUAAACUGGGACCUGGUAGAAUCCAUUGAAGGGUUUAGGUAAACUGGGACCUGGUAGAAUCCAUUGAAGGGUUUAGGUAAACUGUCUGGGACCUGGUAGAAUCCAUUGAAGGGUUUAGGUAAACUGUCUGGGACCUGGUAGAAUCCAUUGAAGGGUUUAGGUAAACUGUCUGGGACCUGGUAGAAUCCAUUGAAGGGUUUAGGUAAACUGGGACCUGGUAGAAUCCAUUGAAGGGUUUAGGUAAACUGUCUGGGACCUGGUAGAAUCCAUUGAAGGGUUUAGGUAAACUGUCUGGGACCUGGUAGAAUCCAUUGAAGGGUUUAGGUAAACUGUCUGGGACCUGGUAGAAUCCAUUGAAGGGUUUAGGUAAACUGGGACCUGGUAGAAUCCAUUGAAGGGUUUAGGUAAACUGGGACCUGGUAGAAUCCAUUGAAGGGUUUAGGUAAACUGUCUGGGACCUGGUAGAAUCCAUUGAAGGGUUUAGGUAAACUGUCUGGGACCUGGUAGAAUCCAUUGAAGGGUUUAGGUAAACUGUCUGGGACCUGGUAGAAUCCAUUGAAGGGUUUAGGUAAACUGUCUGGGACCUGGUAGAAUCCAUUGAAGGGUUUAGGUAAACUGUCUGGGACCUGGUAGAAUCCAUUGAAGGGUUUAGGUAAACUGUCUGGGACCUGGUAGAAUCCAUUGAAGGGUUUAGGUAAACUGUCUGGGACCUGGUAGAAUCCAUUGAAGGGUUUAGGUAAACUGUCUGGGACCUGGUAGAAUCCAUUGAAGGGUUUAGGUAAACUGUCUGGGACCUGGUAGAAUCCAUUGAAGGGUUUAGGUAAACUGUCUGGGACCUGGUAGAAUCCAUUGAAGGGUUUAGGUAAACUGGGACCUGGUAGAAUCCAUUGAAGGGUUUAGGUAAACUGUCUGGGACCUGGUAGAAUCCAUUGAAGGGUUUAGGUAAACUGUCUGGGACCUGGUAGAAUCCAUUGAAGGGUUUAGGUAAACUGUCUGGGACCUGGUAGAAUCCAUUGAAGGGUUUAGGUAAACUGGGACCUGGUAGAAUCCAUUGAAGGGUUUAGGUAAACUGUCUUGGAGAUAUGAGUAUUUGUUCGAAAUGGUGUACAUUAAUGUCCUAAGACAUUGAGUAUAUUGAGUUUCUUAAACAAAGGUGCAGAUGGAGCCAGGUAAUUAGAGAGGAGGUGGGUUGUCUUGUAAAUGUAUUUUGAGUUGGUUUCAUUAAUUAGUGAAUGAAAAUGAUUGUGUAAUAAAAUCAAAUUGGUGUCAUCAGCAAAGAGAAGGGGAAGUACGGUAGAAUACCCAGCAGUCAGGUUAUUGAUAUAGUUCAGGGGCAGAACGACAGAUUUGUACCAUGUCAGCUCGGGGGUUUGAACUUGCAACCUUCCGGUUACUAGUCCAACGCUCUAACCACUAGGCUACCUUGUCGCCCCUAUAGAUUAGUAUGGUAGAAGACCCAGCAGGUAAUUGAUAUAGAUAAGUAUGGUAGAAGACCCAGCAGUCAGGUUAUUGAUAUAGAUUAGUAUGAUAUGGUAGAAGACCUAGCAGGUUAUUGAUAUAGAUUAGUAUGGUAGAAGACCCAGCAGGUUAUUGAUAUAGAUAAGUAUGGUAGAAGACACAGCAGUAAGGUUAUUGAUAUAGAUUAGUAUGGUAGAAGACCCAGCAAAUUAUUGAUAUAGAUUAGUAUGGUACGGUAGAAGACCCAGCAGUAAGGUUAUUGAUAUAGAUUAGUAUGGUACUAGACCCAGCAGUCAGGUUAUUGAUAUAGAUGAGGAAUAACAAGGUCUAAUUAUCCAACCCUGUGGUACGCCUAGACAUCUUGGCCCUAGUAGAUGCACAGCCAUUUGUGUUCUAGUUCCUGCCAAUAUCAAACUCCACACAGCCAUUGAGGAGGAAUGGGACAUUCCCAAUCACCAGCCUGAUCAGCUCUAUGCAUCACGCUGCACAAGGUAAAUGGUGGUCACACCAGAACCUGACUGGUUUUCUGAUCCAUGCCCCUACCUUUUUUUAAGCUGUCUGCAUUCUCAGGCACGUGGAAUCCAUAGUAUAGGGCCUAAUGAAUGUAUUUCAAUUGACUGAUUGAUUUCCUUAUGUGAACUGUAUCUCAGUAAAGUCUUUGAAAUUGU